rnacentral:lncRNA from 1 species
AAGAAACAGAGGAAGGAGAUUGGGCAAAAAUGCCCAAUUGGGACAAGAGAGAAGAAGGCAUCAGGAGGGAUUGAGAGAGGGAGAAGCCGACCAAUCGGAACAGAGGAAAGGAGAGAGGGCGAGAAGCGGAGGAGAGAAGAUCAGAAAACGGGUUUUCCCCCAACCCGUUUACCCGCGACACCCACACCCAAAUUCCGGCGAUUUUCACCUGAUUUCUCACAAAUUGGAUCAAGGUACCACUUCCAAUCAACACCUAGGCCUUCCCUCUUCAUGUUUCACCCCAAAAAUCAUGAAAUGUCGUGGUGAUUUGGCGAAGAACACCUACACGGGUGCCGCGACCUUCUUGUCCAAAUUCUUCAAAUCUUGAAAUGUUUUCUUUCAAUUACUAACACCAUUAGUAUUCCCUUAGGACCUGGAACAAAGCCCAAGCUUUGAUUUGGACGGUGGAGUUGAUUUGAAGGUCG